UGUAUGGGGAAAGACACAAAAAAACAUUGUGAAUUUCAUUGUCACUGAAAAGUGAGCUUUUCUGAUCACAUUUUGUCCGGCGUCCGUCCAUAAGAUUUUCGACUUCUCAAUUAUAAAAUAGUGAAAUUUUGGUGGAGCCACAUAAAAAUCUACAUCUCAAGAACUGGUUCAAAAAUAGGAUACUUAUUCAAAUGCAUCCUCAGUUUCUGCAAAUUUAGAUUUGUUCAAACCAUGGUUUCUGGUAGUAUGAUGGGGCCGCAACAAGGAACAAACAUUCUGAGAGUAUUGCAUGGCAAUACAUAGUCCCCUACCGGUUGCAAAUAUUACUGUACCACAAUAAUAUUCCAAGUUCAUUAUGUCGGUUAUGGUAAAGGGGAAAAUUGGGGAACCAGGAUAGGAAUGAUUGGAAAUCAACUACUAUUCGAGUAGAGACUAGACCGGGAAAAAAGACAAAUUUGUAAUUAGGUUUAGGUCUUUAACCAGGUCAAUAAACUGUGACAUGUCGGUGAUCAUGGAUGAUUUAGCUAUAUUGUUGUAUUACUAGGCUAGAAGUUUUAAUGAGUGUAGUACUCUUAUCUAUAGAGAUAAGAAACUUGAAUGGAAACUAACAAUUCACGUUAUUUGUAUAAGUCCAAGGGCCAUAACUUACUGAAAAAUCAACCGACCGGGAGAAAAAUUCAAACUUGAUCUGUAACUUGUUGUGGCAAAGCAAUGUACCAAAUAUGAAAUGGAUAUCUGCAAGCAUAACCAAAAAGGAGAGGACAAGAAGAUAAAUGCAUCUAAAUCAAGGAAUGCUGCUGUCUGUUGGCAAUUUAUUUUCUGACCACCUUUAUGACCCUUUGCAAAAUGAUAGAAGUCAGCUAACUUGGAUAUCUAUUGCAUGCUACAUGUAUAUCACACCUAAUAUCUCCAUUAAAUUUAUAGUCAAUGUUAUUCUACAUUAAAUAAAUUAACAUUGACUUCA